rnacentral:rRNA from 1 species
GACGAACGCUGGCGGCGUGCCUAAUACAUGCAGGUAGAACGCACAGUUUAUACCGUAGCUUGCUACACCAUAGACUGUGAGUUGCGAACGGGUGAGUAACGCGUAGGUAACCUGCCUGGUAGCGGGGGAUAACUAUUGGAAACGAUAGCUAAUACCGCAUCAUAUUAAUUAUUGCAUGAUAAUUAAUUGAAAGGUGCAAUUGCACCACUACCAGAUGGACCUGCGUUGUAUUAGCUAGUAGGUGAGGUAACGGCUCACCUAGGCGACGAUACAUAGCCGACCUGAGAGGGUGAUCGGCCACACUGGGACUGAGACACGGCCCAGACUCCUACGGGAGGCAGCAGUAGGGAAUCUUCGGCAAUGGACGAAAGUCUGACCGAGCAACGCCGCGUGAGUGAAGAAGGUUUUCGGAUCGUAAAGCUCUGUUGUAAGAGAAGAACGGGUGUGAGAGUGGAAAGUUCACACUGUGACGGUAUCUUACCAGAAAGGGACGGCUAACUACGUG